AGCAGCCGCGGUAAUUCCAGCUCCAAUAGCGUAUAUUAAAGUUGUUGCAGUUAAAAAGCUCGUAGUUGAAUUUCAGGCCUGGCUGGGCGGUCCGCCUUUUGGGUGAGUACUGCCUGUGGUCGGGUCCUACCUUCUGGCGAAGCGUCAUGGCCUUAACCGGCCGUGGCGGGGAACCAGGACUUUUACUGUGAAAAAAUUAGAGUGUUCAAAGCAGGCAUUCGCUUGGAUACAUUAGCAUGGAAUAAUGGAAUAGGACAGUGGUUCUAUUUGUUGGUUUCUAGGACCGUUGUAAUGAUUAAUAGGGAUAGUUGGGGGCAUUAGUAUUCAAUUGUCAGAGGUGAAAUUCUUGGAUUUAUUGAAGACUAACUACUGCGAAAGCAUUUGCCAAGGAUGUUUUCAUUAAUCAAGAACGAAAGUUAGGGGAUCGAAGACGAUCAGAUACCGUCGUAGUCUUAACCAUAAACUAUGCCGACUAGGAAUCGGGCGAUGUUGACAAAAUGACGCGCUCGGCACCUCAUA
rnacentral:rRNA from 1 species